UCUAGGUCAUCUAUGAAUGGCCUAUAUACAGGCUAAUAUGGCCAUCGUUCUAGGACAGAAAGUAGCUGGCUUCUGAGAGUAAAUGUCCUAAAAAACAAGUCCAGAAGGACAGGUACUCUUCCAGCCUUAGAAAGCACCUGACAUCUGUUUCGCUAUGCUGCCCAGACUGACAUUAUAGUUUCCUUUAGCCAUUGAGAAUAAAAAGACAGAAAAAGCUGCCUUCCCUGUUUAUUCAUCUUUUACUCACUGAAAAAGUUUUAAGAGGGAAAAAUAAAAAUAUUGUCCUACUUUUUAGGGACCAACAAAGGAACUAUAAAAACUAGAUGGUGGUGUCUUACCGUAGCAGUGUCAAGGAGAGAAGUAUCAUUGGGCCUGUAUGCAAGUAUGCAAACUAUCCGCUGGAACCCGUGAAAUAUUGUAGCACUGGCCGUUACUACAUAAGUCAAAAUAAAUCCUCGGUCCCUUGGGAUGUUUCUGUAAAGCUCACUGUUACAGUACAUAAAAGAGAGAGGAUCUUGAGAAGAUGACCAACAAUACAAUAGAACAGAUUUGCAGAACCAUCUCACUGAGGCUGUCACUCAGGACAUCCAGAAAUAUCCAGCAUCUUCAAAUUUGCCUUCUAUAGAAAUUGCCUUCAAAACCAGGAAGACAAAUAUAGUACAUACUCACUCAUAGGUGGAUAUCAGACAUAAAGCAAAAGAUACUCUACAAUCCACAACCCCAGAGAAGCUAGAACCCUCUCCCAGAAACAGAUGGAAGCAGAUGCAGUAAUCUACAGCUAACUAUUGGGCCAAGCUCCUAGAGUUCAAUCGAAGUGAGGGGGGAGAGAAAAUGUGAACAAAGGAGUCAAGACCAUGAUGGGGGAAACCACAGAAUCAGCUGACCUGAACUAGUGAGAGAUCGCUGAAUCAGGUCUGACAAAUGGGGAACCAGCAUAAGACAGAACUAGACUCCCUUAAUAUGGGUGACAAUGGUGUGGAUGGGACAAUAUAUGAGGCCACUGGCAGUGGGUCCAAGAUCUAACACUAAUGCACAAACUGACUUAAGGGAGUCCAUUCUAUUUGGAGAGAUACCUUGUUCAGCCUAGACACAGGGGUAUGAGGGGUGGAGAGGUGCCUUAGUCCUGCCUCAAUGACAUGAUGGGACAGAUUUAGUAGACUUCUUAAGGGAAGCCUUACCCUCUCUGAAGAGCAG
rnacentral:lncRNA from 1 species